rnacentral:rRNA from 1 species
UACGGAGGGGGCUAGCGCUGUUCGGAAUUACUGGGCGUAAAGGGCGCGUAGGCGGGCUGAUAAGUCGGAGGUGAAAGCCCGGGGCUCAACCCCGGAAUUGCCUUCGAGACUGGCAGGCUCGAGGUCGAAAGAGGCGAGUGGAAUACCCAGUGUAGAGGUGAAAUUCGUAGAUAUUGGGUGGAACACCAGUGGCGAAAGCGGCUCUCUGGUUCGAAUCUGACGCUGAGGAGCGAAAGCGUGGGGAGCAAACAGG